AUUGAACGCUGGCGGCAUGCCUUACACAUGCAAGUCGAACGGCAGCACGGGGCAACCUGGUGGCGAGUGGCGAACGGAUGAGUAAUGCAUCGGAACGUGCCAUUGAGUGGGGGAUAACGUAGCGAAAGUUGCGCUAAUACCGCAUAUUCUGUGAGCAGGAAAGCAGGGGACCGCAAGGCCUUGCGCUCUUUGAGCGGCCGAUGUCAGAUUAGCUAGUUGGUGAGGUAACGGCUUACCAAGGCGACGAUCUGUAGCGGGUCUGAGAGGAUGAUCCGCCACACUGGAACUGAGACACGGUCCAGACUCCUACGGGAGGCAGCAGUGGGGAAUUUUGGACAAUGGGCGCAAGCCUGAUCCAGCCAUGCCGCGUGAGUGAAGAAGGCC
rnacentral:rRNA from 1 species